AUUACCGAGUUUACAACUCCCAAACCCAAUGUGAACCAUACCAAACUGUUGCCUCGGCGGGGUCACGCCCCGGGUGCGUCGCAGCCCCGGAACCAGGCGCCCGCCGGAGGGACCAACCAAACUCUUUUCUGUAGUCCCCUCGCGGACGUUAUUUCUUACAGCUCUGAGCAAAAAUUCAAAAUGAAUCAAAACUUUCAACAACGGAUCUCUUGGUUCUGGCAUCGAUGAAGAACGCAGCGAAAUGCGAUAAGUAAUGUGAAUUGCAGAAUUCAGUGAAUCAUCGAAUCUUUGAACGCACAUUGCGCCCGCCAGUAUUCUGGCGGGCAUGCCUGUCCGAGCGUCAUUUCAACCCUCGAACCCCUCCGGGGGGUCGGCGUUGGGGAUCGGGAACCCCUAAGACGGGAUCCCGGCCCCGAAAUACAGUGGCGGUCUCGCCGCAGCCUCUCCUGCGCAGUAGUUUGCACAACUCGCACCGGGAGCGCGGCGCGUCCACGUCCGUAAAACACCCAACUUCUGAAAUGUUGACCUCGGAUCAGGUAGGAAUACCCGCUGAACUUAAGCAUAUC
rnacentral:rRNA from 1 species